CAUCCUACGGGAGGCAGCAGUGGGGAAUAUUGCACAAUGGGCGCAAGCCUGAUGCAGCCAUGCCGCGUGUAUGAAGAAGGCCUUCGGGUUGUAAAGUACUUUCAGCAGUGAGGAAGGUGGGUAUGUUAAUAGCAUACUCAUUUGACGUUAGCUGCAGAAGAAGCACCGGCUAACUCCGUGCCAGCAGCCGCGGUAAUACGGAGGGUGCGAGCGUUAAUCGGAAUUACUGGGCGUAAAGCGCAUGCAGGUGGUUUGUUAAGUCAGAUGUGAAAGCCCGGGGCUCAACCUCGGAAUUGCAUUUGAAACUGGCAAACUAGAGUACUGUAGAGGGGGUAGAAUUUCAGGUGUAGCGGUGAAAUGCGUAGAGAUCUGAAGGAAUACCGGUGGCGAAGGCGGCCCCCUGGACAGAUACUGACACUCAGAUGCGAAAGCGUGGGGAGCAAACAGGAUUAGAUACCCUGGUAG
rnacentral:rRNA from 1 species